rnacentral:rRNA from 1 species
UACAGAGGUCUCAAGCGUUGUUCGGAUUCAUUGGGCGUAAAGGGUGCGUAGGCGGCGCGGUAAGUCGGGUGUGAAAUCUCGGGGCUUAACUCCGAAACUGCAUUCGAUACUGCCGUGCUUGAGGACUGGAGAGGAGACUGGAAUUUACGGUGUAGCGGUGAAAUGCGUAGAUAUCGUAAGGAAGACCAGUGGCGAAGGCGGGUCUCUGGACAGUUCCUGACGCUGAAGCACGAAGGCCAGGGGAGCAAACGGG